UCCGUAGGUGAACCUGCGGAAGGAUUAUUAACGAGUUUUGAAACGGGUUGUAGCUGGCCUUCCGAGGCAUGUGCACGCCCUGCUCAUCCACUCUACCCCUGUGCACUUACUGUAGGUUGGCGUGGGCUCCUUAACGGGAGCAUUCUGCCGGCCUAUGUAUACUACAAACACUUUAAAGUAUCAGAAUGUAAACGCGUCUAACGCAUCUAUAAUACAACUUUUAGCAACGGAUCUCUUGGCUCUCGCAUCGAUGAAGAACGCAGCGAAAUGCGAUAAGUAAUGUGAAUUGCAGAAUUCAGUGAAUCAUCGAAUCUUUGAACGCACCUUGCGCUCCUUGGUAUUCCGAGGAGCAUGCCUGUUUGAGUGUCAUGGAAUUCUCAACUUAUAAAUCCUUGUGAUCUAUAAGCUUGGACUUGGAGGCUUGCUGGCCCUUGUUGGUCGGCUCCUCUUGAAUGCAUUAGCUCGAUUCCGUACGGAUCGGCUCUCAGUGUGAUAAUUGUCUACGCUGUGACCGUGAAGUGUUUUGGCGAGCUUCUAACCGUCCAUUAGGACAACUUUUUAACAUCUGACCUCAAAUCAGGUAGGACUACCCGCUGAACUUAAGCAUAUCAAUAAGCGGAGGA
rnacentral:rRNA from 1 species